AACGAACGCUGGCGGCAUGCCUAACACAUGCAAGUCGAACGAGACCUUCGGGUCUAGUGGCGCACGGGUGCGUAACGCGUGGGAACCUGCCCUUAGGUUCGGAAUAACUCCCCGAAAGGGGUGCUAAUACCGGAUAAUGUCUUCGGACCAAAGAUUUAUCGCCUUUGGAUGGGCCCGCGUUGGAUUAGCUAGUUGGUAGGGUAAAAGCCUACCAAGGCGACGAUCCAUAGCUGGUCUGAGAGGAUGAUCAGCCACACUGGGACUGAGACACGGCCCAGACUCCUACGGGAGGCGGCAGUGGGGGAUAUUGGACAAUGGGCGAAAGCCUGAUCCAGCGAUGCCGCGUGAGUGAUGAAGGCCUUAGGGUUGUAAAGCUCUUUUACCCGGGAUGAUAAUGACAGUACCGGGAGAAUAAGCUGCGGCUAACUCCGUG
rnacentral:rRNA from 1 species